rnacentral:lncRNA from 1 species
GGCUUUGUAAGGCUUGUUACUACUUCCCUGAGAGAUACCUGCUUUGCCUUCUUCUCUUAUGCAGCACUGCUGAUAUCAGCAGGAGUGCUGAGUUAUUAUAUUUGCAUCCUGCCAGACAAACGUGGGGCUCCCCACAUAGCUCUGCCAGUACCCCCACUCCUGCCUGGAAGAAAGGAAGAAGUUUAGCAUGUUACUAGAUUUUUGUUGUCUUUCUGUUCGCACUUAACUUCAGAGGCAGCCAACUUGACCAUUCAGAGAUGCAAAGCCGAGGCCUUGAAGUGGAGCACAGAGGGAAAUCUGAUGCUGGAUAUACAGGAGCAGCCCUGGAGAAGGUUCUGUACCCAGGAGGAUCAGACCUGAUUGGAUUGGAUAGGUGAACAGAGACAGUGAUGAAGGGAAUGGAGUCACUAUAUGGUGGUGUUCCCUGCUGUCAUUCACCAUUCCCGAGAGGAGAAGCUCUGUGUCCACCUCAGGUCCCUCCCUGAAGCUGUCCACCUGGCUGUCACCUUGGAGGUGGAAGCCCAGAA